rnacentral:rRNA from 1 species
GGUUAAGCGACUAAGCGUACACGGUGGAUGCCCUGGCAGUCAGAGGCGAUGAAGGACGUGCUAAUCUGCGAUAAGCGUCGGUAAGGUGAUAUGAACCGUUAUAACCGGCGAUUUCCGAAUGGGGAAACCCAGUGUGUUUCGACACACUAUCAUUAACUGAAUCCAUAGGUUAAUGAGGCGAACCGGGGGAACUGAAACAUCUAAGUACCCCGAGGAAAAGAAAUCAACCGAGAUUCCCCCAGUAGCGGCGAGCGAACGGGGAGGAGCCCAGAGCCUGAAUCAGUGUGUGUGUUAGUGGAAGCGUCUGGAAAGGCGCGCGAUACAGGGUGACAGCCCCGUACACAAAAAUGCACAUGCUGUGAGCUCGAUGAGUAGGGCGGGACACGUGGUAUCCUGUCUGAAUAUGGGGGGACCAUCCUCCAAGGCUAAAUACUCCUGACUGACCGAUAGUGAACCAGUACCGUGAGGGAAAGGCGAAAAGAACCCCGGCGAGGGGAGUGAAAAAGAACCUGAAACCGUGUACGUACAAGCAGUGGGAGCAUGCUUAGGCGUGUGACUGCGUACCUUUUGUAUAAUGGGUCAGCGACUUAUAUUCUGUAGCAAGGUUAACCGAAUAGGGGAGCCGAAGGGAAACCGAGUCUUAACUGGGCGUUAAGUUGCAGGGUAUAGACCCGAAACCCGGUGAUCUAGCCAUGGGCAGGUUGAAGGUUGGGUAACACUAACUGGAGGACCGAACCGACUAAUGUUGAAAAAUUAGCGGAUGACUUGUGGCUGGGGGUGAAAGGCCAAUCAAACCGGGAGAUAGCUGGUUCUCCCCGAAAGCUAUUUAGGUAGCGCCUCGUGAACUCAUCUCCGGGGGUAGAGCACUGUUUCGGCAAGGGGGUCAUCCCGACUUACCAACCCGAUGCAAACUGCGAAUACCGGAGAAUGUUAUCACGGGAGACACACGGCGGGUGCUAACGUCCGUCGUGAAGAGGGAAACAACCCAGACCGCCAGCUAAGGUCCCAAAGUCAUGGUUAAGUGGGAAACGAUGUGGGAAGGCCCAGACAGCCAGGAUGUUGGCUUAGAAGCAGCCAUCAUUUAAAGAAAGCGUAAUAGCUCACUGGUCGAGUCGGCCUGCGCGGAAGAUGUAACGGGGCUAAACCAUGCACCGAAGCUGCGGCAGCGACGCUUAUG